rnacentral:rRNA from 1 species
UACGAAGGGUGCAAGCGUUACUCGGAAUUACUGGGCGUAAAGCGUGCGUAGGUGGUGAGUUAAGUCUGUCGUGAAAGCCCCGGGCUCAACCUGGGAAUGGCGAUGGAUACUGGCUCGCUAGAGUGCGGUAGAGGGUGGUGGAAUUCCCAGUGUAGAGGUGAAAUUCGUAGAUAUUGGGAAGAACACCAGUGGCGAAGGCGGCUCACUGGCCCGUAACUGACGCUGACGGUGCGAAAGCGUGGGGAGCAAACAGGGAUU